rnacentral:rRNA from 1 species
UACGAAGGGGGCUAGCGUUGCUCGGAAUCACUGGGCGUAAAGCGCACGUAGGCGGAUCUUUAAGUCAGGGGUGAAAUCCUGGAGCUCAACUCCAGAACUGCCUUUGAUACUGGGGAUCUCGAGUCCGGGAGAGGUGAGUGGAACUGCGAGUGUAGAGGUGAAAUUCGUAGAUAUUCGCAAGAACACCAGUGGCGAAGGCGACUUACUGGACACAUAUUGACGCUGAGGUGCGAAAGCGUGGGGAGCAAACAGG